rnacentral:rRNA from 1 species
GACGUAGGGCGCGAGCGUUGUCCGGAUUAUUGGGCGUAAAGAGCUCGUAGGCGGUUUGUCGCGUCUGCUGUGAAAACCCGAGGCUCAACCUCGGGCCUGCAGUGGGUACGGGCAGACUAGAGUGCGGUAGGGGAGAUUGGAAUUCCUGGUGUAGCGGUGGAAUGCGCAGAUAUCAGGAGGAACACCAAUGGCGAAGGCAGAUCUCUGGGCCGUAACUGACGCUGAGGAGCGAAAGCAUGGGAGCGAACAGG